rnacentral:rRNA from 1 species
UACGGGGGGGGCAAGCGUUGUUCGGAAUUACUGGGCGUAAAGGGCGCGUAGGCGGCCCUCUAAGUCGGACGUGAAAUCCCUCGGCUUAACCGGGGAACUGCGUCUGAUACUGGAGGGCUUGAAUCCGGGAGAGGGAUGUGGAAUUCCAGGUGUAGCGGUGAAAUGCGUAGAUAUCUGGAGGAACACCGGUGGCGAAGGCGGCAUCCUGGACCGGUAUUGACGCUGAGGCGCGAAAGCUAGGGGAGCAAACAGG